CAAAAGCAUUUGCUGGUACAACCAAACUGGAAAAGAUUUUAGAUAUUUCGAAUGCUGAGAAGUUGUUUUAUACGCUGUCUACCUGGGAGCUUGCAUUGGCAGGGUAACACACACCCUCUCCCUCUAUCUCUAAAACUGUUGUCAUGCUUUCAAGUUAAUGCUACCAAAAUAGAUGUCAAUAUUCCACAUACUAAUCUAAAACUUUUUAUUUAAAUUGAUGAGGAAGUAUAUAGGGGCAGUUGCAUUCAACAACAUCACAAGGUUGGUAUUUGGGAAAAGAUUUGUGAAUGCAGAAGGUGUAAUGGAUGAGCAAGGAGUAGAGUUCAAGGCUAUAGUGUCAAAUGGGUUGAAACUAGGAGCAUCUCUUGCUAUGGCAUAACACAUCCCUUGGUUGCGCUGGAUGUUCCCAUUAGAAGAGGAGGCUUUUGCCGAACACGGUGCUCGCCGAGACCGACUUACUCGAGCCAUCAUGGACGAGCAUACACAGGCACGCCAGAAAUCUGGCAGUGCCAAGCAGCAUUUUGUAGAUGCUCUUCUCACUUUGCAAGACAAAUAUGAUCUUAGUGAAGACACCAUCAUUGAUCUCCUUUGGGACAUGAAGGGCCGUGAUUUGAGGCUACUUCCUUUUGGAGCAAGUCGUCGGGUAUUCUGGGUGCACAACUUGGAAUCAAUAUGAUGACAUUUAUGUUAGGUCAUCUGUUGCACCAUUUAUGUUGGGCACCACCUGAGGGAGUGAACCCUGAGGAGAUUGAUAUGGUAGAGAACCCUGGAAUGGUUACAUAUAUGAGGACUCCAUUACAUGUUGUGGCUUCCCCUAGCCUUCUCUCAGACUUAUAUAAACAUGUUCCUAAUCUUUUUUUCUUACUGCAAUGUUGCUGUUUUUAAAACUGUUGAGUAAAUUUCCUGUGGGAUUUAUUUCUACCAUUGUGUCAUAUGUUACUAUGAUUGAAAUUCAAUAUUUUAGGUUAUGGCUUCUCCUAGGCUUCCCUCAGACUUUAUUGAUCUGUCAAACAUGAAUGAGCCUGAAAAAUGUAGGUUCAGGUACAUCUCCUUUGCCCCAACCCACUGUGAUCAAGAAGCUUAUACUCAUAAAUGUGUUUCAUUUCAACUAAAUUUAUAGUCUACGAGGCAGUUGAACAAGUUAAAUAUGUGGACCGAAUUGUUUUGAACAAGGAAAGCAUCUGGAUUUGGUUACAAAAUCUGAGUUAAAUAUACAGACAAAGAAAUUAAAGGUAUGUUUUUGUUACUUAUGGAUGAAACAAAGUGUUUUGUUACUUAGUGUGAUACAUUUUUGACAUUCAGUUAUUAGGUGCGAUAUUUAAUUAAAUGUUGUGUAUUUUUAACAAUUUGUGAUUCAGGAUUGAUUAGAAAAACAUGUUAUGUUUAUGUAGAAUGAAGUUGUGUAUGCAGUAGAGUUCUCCCACUGAAGUAGACGCAUAUUGUAGUAGCAACUACUGUUGAUUAAUCUAAUUCCAUCUAAUUUAUAGUAACAAUAGUUUCUCAUAAGAAUCAUCAAGUCACGCUUUAAAAGAUGUAUACUGUUAAGAUAAUCAAUCGAGCUAUUUGGAUCAAAGCAGUAUAUAUCAACAACUGCACAUCCCAUUUCUUAUAUAAUAGUCUACCAACAAUAAUAUUCAAAUUAUGUUUCCUCUUAGAAACAUAAGACCCAUAUGUGAGGUAGAGAUUAUGUCGAUUAGAAUAGCAGGACUGACAACGCUUAGUCUAAGAACAUCUAAAUCUCAUUUGCCAAAAGCUAUAAACAUCAGUGAGUUUUGAUGUUUACGUACAACAACGGCUACUACUUAAAGUUGGCAAUUCUGGUGAUGCAGUUAAACUCUUUUGUGUACACCAGCAAGUCUGAUGCAAUGAUUUAUGUUACAUGGAAUUGGGUCACGUUGAUUACAUGAGUUUGAACCGUUAUGCCAAUACUAUAUGAGAAACGGGGACUAUAAAUUUGGAUUGGCUUAUCGAUAUCAUCAUUCACACGCCACAUUUUUGCACGACCAGUUCUUAGUCCCAAUGAUCUUCCUAAUGGUUUUGAUUUUGAUCUAGAAAACAAUGCUUUAGUUUACAACAUUCAACAUAUGUUAGGAUUGGUUUAAGAUUGUUGCGUACCCAAGAAAAUACGACGCAACAGUGUGCUCACAAUAUGGGGUAAGUUUUUGUUUUACAGCUAACAUUAUCUUUUUGAUGUUAUGGUUCAUCUAUCUUUAAUUUGUUGUAUGUUAUUAUGUCCACUGUUGCGUUGUAUUUUCUUGGGUCUGGUGCAGGCAGAUGUUUUAAGAUUGGUUUCGGUGUUGUAUCAGCAAAGGUUUUUUCUCAGUUGAACAUGGAUGUUGUUUGGCUGUUUGUGUGGUCUUUUGGUUUAAGCGUUGAACAACAAGGUGACAAGCAUCUAAGUGACGCUGACUUAUCGAGUUGGAGUGGCAAAGAGUAUUGUUUUGUGUCAAAAGCUUCACCAUGACAGAGGAGUGUAGGGGCCUUUCAACAUAUUUUGAGUUCGCUGGCUCGACCGCAUUGGGAGGGUAGCAUCGAUUUAGGUGUCAUCCAAAACAGUCUAGAGUUAUUUAGAUUGGUUAUGCAGGUGUUGAAUUUUGUUUAGAAUAUAGGGUUGUUAUCAUUUUUUAUGUAAUUUAGAUGCAGAAUAUUUUUCCUUCUGUCAAAGUCCUGUGAAAGUUUGGAAUGGGGUUG